GUCCUGAAAAGACAAGAAAAGAAGGAAGGAGACCCAUGCAAAGCAGAACACAUGGGGCACAGAGGUGGGGAGACCAGGGUCCCGUCCAUUGGAGUUUCUUGCCAGAGCCCUCUGGCCAGGGCCCUGCCCCAUGACUGGAGCACAGAAGACAGGCACUCCUCCUCCAGGCUGGUACAAUACACUCCUCCUCAAUUCUGGCAUCUUGCUGCAGCUUGUAUUGGUGUGUUCUCUGUGGAUGCAAGGUGACAUUGACCCCUAGAUGCUUCAUGCCAGAGCAUCAGGCACCUGACCCUGAGAGCUGUCCUACACCAAGAAGCCAAAUACUGACUGUACUGCCUCAGCAUUGAACUGAGACCUAAGCUUGCACACAGCCCAAAGGCUAAAAAGGUAAGCCUGCCAGAAAGUGGAGCAAAUUCUCCCUGGUGUUCAUCUGAAAGCCUGGGGUCUCAGAGAGAAAAGUUUAGGGGAAGAGGCACGUGGAGUGCAGUAGCUUCCUGUUUGACCAAGUAAGGGCAUUUCUUAGAACAGACUACUUGCUACUGUCAGCAGCAUCAUGCCAAUCUCAUCAAAAGAUUGAAGGCGCCAUGUUGCAGAAGGGGCACUGAACAUCCACAAGGCCCUCCCACUGUCUUUUUUCACAGCCCUGUGGACAGUUCUAGGGGCUCAGGCAGCAUUCCUUAAGGUAAAGUAAGCGGCCUGGGCGGACAGGUGAGAGCUGAUGCUCUGUGGUCCCGGUUCCCUGUGUUUUGUCAGAUAUGGGCCUACAGCUGGGAGUCCCUCGGAGUCUCUCUAGUGCCUCUAAAAAUAGACCUGAAAAAGCAGCAAAGGGAAGACUCCAACCCUCUUUGGGACCCAGCUAGGGCAGGGACACCAGCUAACAGGGAGACUCAGAAGUGUCAGCCGCACCUCCAGUUCCACCCUGGUGUAGCUUAGAGUGCAUCACAUCUCACAUUACCCUAUAUUAAUGCCAAACAGCCAACCAGACCAGGCCUAUCCCGUGCAUGGACCAUGUGAUGCAAGGAACUAAGCCCCUGCUGUGCCCCCUUCAUUCCCUGUCUACAGGAUGAGGAGAAGCCAAAGAGACUGUUUCUUGUAGCUGCCAGGCUUUGGGCGGGGCAGUUGUGAUGCCUUAAUUUCCUAUACAAACACUUGGGUAAAGGCUGACCCUGGCCUCAAAGGGGGAGGGGGCUGACUAAGCCCUUCAGGAGCAGCCCCCUCCCCUCUGGGCCCCAAACGCCGCCAAGAUGUUGACACGGACGGCUCCAGCGGUCUUAUUUAUUAUCUGAUAAAGCAAGCUCGGCACCGCUGGUGGACAGCGUCUGGCCGCUCUGAGCUGACCAGCAUGGGGGAGGAGGAAGGCGGUACUGACAGAGGCGGGCCCCAGCCUCACCCUAGGACAGGCCUCCACCCUGGACUCUGGGACAAGCCAUGUCUUCUCCUCCCCCACCAUUGGCCAUCUGGAAAGGAUCUCCCUGCCUGUCAUAUACACCUGAGCCUGUGCCCACUUCUGCAAAACUCUGUUGCCUUGGGUUCCCAAAUCUUCUAGCUAUGCCCUCCCAUCCAGCACCCAAUUACCGUUGCUGUCUAUCCUCCAUUCCCUGUAUUUGGCCUGGAGCUCAGACUUUCUAUGAUGUAGGUUCAAUCCUGCUUCUUUGCCUCCAAACACUACUUCUUCAAGAUUCAACUCUGCAGUUAUGACUAGGCCCCAGGAACCCUGGACUCCCAUUCCAGGUCCACACUGUUGACUAGGCCCCAGGAACAACCCCCCUCUAUUCCAGGGCUCCCCUCCGCAAGCAGCUACAUUUACUCUCAGGUACAGGAGACACUUGCCAGCAUCCCUGCCUGACUCUAAUGCCCUUCCUGACUCUUGUGUGUCUAACCAGUAACAUGGGCACUAAGUGACCACCUCCUCCUCCAGUACUUUUGGGAAGAAUGAAAAAAGCAGGAUCAAUAGAGUCCUGUCACCGUCCUUGGAGGUCAAGUGCUCCAGCCAGCUCCAGAGGCCUCUUGUAGACAAAUUAGCAUAAUCAUGCAUACACAUCUGUGUGUAUUUGUGGGCCUAGGCAUUGCAAUGUGAGGUGAUAAGUUCUCCUUUUGCUGUGGACAAGAUCCCAUGAGGCUACCUCUCACUAGGAAAUGCUGAUUUGGGUCUCAUCCAUCACUUGUCAUCCCAGAGCUGUCCUUGGGCAGAGGAAACAUGGCAGAUAUCCAAAAAGAAGGAAUCUGAUAAUUACUAGAGGGACUGUGUGUAGCUGAGCUCUUAAAAUUCAGACUUCCAAAACUGGGUACACGCCUUUAGUCCCAGAACUCAAGGCAGCGGCAAACAGAUCUUUGUGAGUUCGAAGCCAAGCCGGUCUACAGUCAUGGCAACACAGAGAACUCUGUUUGAAAAUCAAAACAAACAAAAAAAUUCAAAAAACAAAACAAAAAAUAUUAUUAUUGAGUUGUAAUAUUUUGUUUGUUUGUUUUUCUUUUAUUCUUUCAUAUAUUACAUCCUGACUGCAGUUCCCCUCCCCUGCUCCUCCCAGUCCCUACCCCUGCCUCCCCUCUCCCCCAGAUCCUCUCUUCCUUUGUUUCCCUUUGGAAAAAAAGAGCAGGCCUCCCAGGGAUAUCCACCAAACAUGGCAUAGCAAGUUACAAUGAGAUCAGGAACAAGGGGGCUGGAGAAAUGGGUCAGUGGUUAAGAGCACUGCCUGCUCUUCCAGAGGUCCUGAGUUCAAUUUCCACCAACUACAUGGUGGCUUACAACCAUCUGAUGUGUCUCAUAUAAAUAAAUAAAGGCAGCUACAGUGU
rnacentral:lncRNA from 1 species